CUACGGGAGGCAGCAGUGGGGAAUAUUGGACAAUGGGGGGAACCCUGAUCCAGCAAUGCCGCGUGUGUGAAGAAGGUCUUCGGAUUGUAAAGCACUUUCACUAGGGAAGAUGAUGACGGUACCUAGAGAAGAAGCCCCGGCUAACUUCGUGCCAGCAGCCGCGGUAAUACGAAGGGGGCUAGCGUUGCUCGGAAUGACUGGGCGUAAAGGGCGCGUAGGCUGUUUGUACAGUCAGAUGUGAAAUCCCCGGGCUUAACCUGGGAACUGCAUUUGAUACGUGCAGACUAGAGUCCGAGAGAGGGUUGUGGAAUUCCCAGUGUAGAGGUGAAAUUCGUAGAUAUUGGGAAGAACACCGGUUGCGAAGGCGGCAACCUGGCUCGGAACUGACGCUGAGGCGCGAAAGCGUGGGGAGCGAACAGGAUUAGAUACCCUGGUAGUCCACGCUGUAAACGAUGUGUGCUGGAUGUUGGGUGAUUUUAUCAUUCAGUGUCGGAGCUAACGCGUUAAGCACACCGCCUGGGGAGUACGGCCGCAAGGUUGAAACUCAAAGGAAUUGACGGGGGCCCGCACAANCGNUG
rnacentral:rRNA from 1 species